rnacentral:lncRNA from 1 species
CAUCGCUUGUACAGCACCACAACCACUGUUAAGAACUGCAAAUACAACAAACAAAAAUCAGCCCCAAAAACUUCGGCACCACCAGAUUAAAUUGUUCAGCCACAUCGCCACACCGCAUGGCUACCUAGAACACCACCACACCACUCCAUACCAUCCCAAAAACUUAGAUGCCACCAAAUCGAACUCACACAGCCGUAAUGCCAACACAACACACCGCUACCUAGAUUCACCCCAACACACCACACCACACCUUACCUACCCAAUCCAACGUCGAUUUCGCCUUUGUUUCGCGACGCCAUCGUUCACAACAACAUUGGCCGGCAAAAGCUGAGUGGAGAAGAAACGCGCUCACACUCGUUACCGUCGUGAGCAUAGGAGAUGCAGCACUCACGCUCCUAGGAAUUGUCGCGAUCUGUGUACUGAUGAACCUGAAGAUCUACAUGCAAAGGCGUCGUGAUGGAGUUGCCCAAAGAGACGGCUGCGCUAAUGCCGCGCCUUAACACACCAUUGGUGCCAUGUUGUCGGAGAAGAAAGAGACGGACCAGACAACGGACGGUAUAGAGAGGGA